AUGUAAAUUUACGACGAAAUAUUUUCGUCGUAAAUGUUCGUUGUUAUGGACACGUUUUCUUGUAGUGUCUACACAAGACUGGAAUACCAAAAAAAAAGUAUAUAACCAUUUCAUGAAACACCAAAGGGUUAACACAUUAGCACAUGAUUUUUUUUGUAUAGCACAUGAAAUGCCUUUUAUAACACAUGAAAUUCUAAAAUAUUCAAUUCCAAACCCCAAAAGUUUGAAAUAUUAGUCUGCACGCGGUUGCACAUGUAGCAGUCCUAGCAUCAGCAAUUUGUUGACUACUACAUACCGGUUGUUUUGCUUAAGCAGAGUGUACUGAGAUAAUCGAUCUUAUAAUAGAGAGAGAAGAAAACCAUUGUCUUUCAAAAAGAAACCUAUCAUCAAUCUUUGUCUUUUUACUUAUAUAAUAUCUUUUACCAGAAUCAAAUACAAUAAAUUAAACAGAUACCUUAAAAAUUUAUGAACUGAUUUUAUAUAGGAAAUUAAUAACUUAACAGUGUGAGAAAAAUAACUUUACAGUAAUUCUAAAUUUCUUUUUUUUUGUAAUUCUUUUAUAGAUAUUUUUGAGUAUGUAUAUCAAAUUACACUACCUAAAAUAAAAUUUUAGGAAUUCUCAUCAUUUAUUUGGAUAAUAAAUAUCUUAAGUGAAUACUUAUGAUUAUAAAAGUUAUAAUACACAAUUUAAAUCAAUAAAUAUAAUAUCUAAAAGAAGAAAAAAAAUUAACAAUAACACUUAUAUCAUUAACAUAAAAUAUUUAACCUAAAAAUGUAUGAAAGUGUAUUAAUAACCGUUGAGAGACAUGUUAUUAUAUAUUAUUAGAUAAAACUUUGAUACAUGACAUUUAUUUUGGUUAAGAUGUUUUUGAUUUUAUUUGAUACAUGGCAAUAAAGAAUGUUAAUAGACAAAUAAUUAGAGAUGAAAUUUUUAGAUAAGGACAUAGUAAAUUGAAUCCUUUAACUUAAACACCAAGACUUUAUAAUUAUGAAAUAUUUAUCUGUAGAAAGUAUUAUUUUCAAUGUAUGUCCUGAUUGGCCCACUUAGUUGUAGAAACUAGAAAGUAUUAUUAUUUUUCAGAGUAAGUUAAGUCGUCUAUAAUUUUUACCAACCCGGCGAAACAUUUUAAAAUUGUGUAAAAAUAUAACAUAACACAUUAGUAAGCAGAUUCUUACUGUUAGUUUAAUUAUUUUCACCUUAAACCCAGAUAGCCCAGUACGUACUUCAGAAAGUCCAAAUUGUUUGUUUUGCAUUGUUUUGUAUAUCAUAAAUUUUAUAAUAAGUUUCAUAAUAGGCAGUGUUUAUAUAUUGAGUCAAUAUGUCUUUUUAUUUUUUUAAUACAUACGAAUUGAAAAUUAUAAUUUAUUUUAAUUUAUUCACUCUGUGCAAGGCGCGGAUCAUAAAAAUUAAUAACUGGAGACACUUAGAUUUAACAAAAAUUAUAUAUAUAAAUAUAGUUCAAUUUAUAAACUGUCUAAAACCAUAAUGAUUAUUUGUGGAGUUGCAUUUGUGACCACAAAUGUAUUUCUAUUCUUAAAACCAUAAUGGAAAUUGAAAUUUUCAUCUUUUUAAAAAUAUUGACAUAAUUUACCCGCAUGAGCAUGUUGCUUGGUUUGUCGUCUGUCAUCGACAUAUUGAUAAUGACUUAUAUGGUUUGUUUUAUGAUUAUAAUUUUACGUUUUACAUUUUCAUUAAAAACGAAAAUUCACAAAAUAAAAUAAUACAUAAUAAUUAAAUAUUUACUACAUAAUUAUAUUAAAUUUCUUCAACCAAUAUAUGAAUAUUCAAAAAAUCUGAAUUCUUAUAUUUUGGUUAAAAUAUUUUGUGCAUUUUCAUACAUCACAUUAUAUAGUGAUACGAAUUAGUAAAAAGUAAAAGUAAGAAUUUAAUUAUUUUAAAAAUAUUUUAUAUCCAUGUGUGAAAUUUCAAAAUAUUUUGGUUAAUUUCAUUUAUAUAUUUAUGAGUCGAUCAUCACUUUAGUUUUUCUUAAAACUUUCCGAGACAAAAAUAAAACAAUUAACGAAUUAUAUAUAUACACCUCUAGAAUGAUGAACUAAAAUAAAUAUAUUGAGCACAACUAUCUGAAUUUUAGCCUCAUUAAUUCAAAAAGAAAUUGGAUUUGGAUUAAAUUUUUAGCCUAAUAUAUCCACAAAACCAUAAAAGAAGUAACAUGACCAAUAUAAAUUAAUAUACCUAAAAUCAUAGGUCAAAUUGAAAUGAAAAUAUAUUAUUAUCUGUAACAAUAUUUUAUAUAUAUAUAUAUAUAUUGCAGAAUGAUUCAGAACUUAUAAACUAUUAUCUGUAAUAAUAUUAUAUUCAUUUCUUAUAAAUAUAAAUUAGAGAACGAGUCAAACUUAUAAGUAAAUUAAAAUUAAAUAUUAACCAGUUAUUACAUGAGUUAGUUCCUUUGAAAAUUAUAAAUGUGCAUGAUAUUCCAAAAGAUUAUCAGUAACAUUCGUUUAUGGUACUAGAGUAGAUCACAAUUUUAGUUGAAAUAUUCAAUUUUUUUCCAAAAUAAUAUAUGCUAAACUAUAUAUAGUUUGGAAAAUAUAUUUACAAAUCUAAGACACCAAACUAUAUGGAACAAACAAAAUUAAUCAAAAUUUUACCUAAUUUAGAAUUAAAAAUUUAGGAUUUAUUUCAAAAAUAAAUAUAAUUUAAUAUACCCAAAUAAUAACCAAACUGGCUAUAUAUGUUAUACCUAAAAUUGAAUAUCUAAUUAGAAUGACAACAUAAUAUUAUUCAAAAUAACUUUAAUUUAUACAUAAAUUAUAACUUGAUUUAAAAAAAAUUUAAAUAAAUGAAAAAUAUAAAUAAAUUAUUAUAAUUUCUUUACUUUGUAUCCGUGCAUAUGCACGAGAAAAUCACCUAGUAAAUAAAUUUAUCAAAGUCUUUUUUUUUUAAUUUGGUAAAAAAAUGAUUUCAUCUAUUUGUCGGGAAUCCAAGCAUCGUAAAUUAUUAUUUUUAACGCGGAUUGAAUCUGAGCGGUAGAUCAAAUCCGAGCGGCGGAUCAAAUCCGAGAAAGGCUAUUAACACUCCCUUUUAUCACUGUGGCAAUUCAACGUCAAUCAUUUACUUUUGCAUAAGGUGUAACUUAGAUUUAUUAGUCUUCCAGCUUCUUGACGCGAGACUUCAUUUGUUUCAACAUCAAUUUUGACCACGCAGUUAUUUAAACAUUGAAAUUCAUUUGUUUCAACAUCAAUUUUGAUCGCGCAAUUAUUUAAACAUUGAAAUCCGAAUCUUUGCCUAGACUUUUAUGAACGCGUUUUUAACGUUAAAAGUUUUAAAACGAUAGAGUAUUUCAACGCAGAUAAAAAAGCAGACCGUGACUUUGUUAGUGCGACUGCUCUUCUUUUUCCGCGUUAAUAAAAAAAAGAUAUACUCUCACUGCCUGCACCAUCAGUAAACAACUUCUUAUCUUAUCAUACAAUCUUAUCAUACAAUCUUAUCACAUCGAUCAACUAUAUAGAAAUCAAUUAGAGACGUGUCCAGUUUAGUCUAAUCUAUAUGUUCGCCAAUUUGUCAACACACACAAAAACUGAGACUAACUUAAAUUUUGUGAUUGGAGAUUGUAUUACUUACUUCGCAUUCAAAAAUAUUUCACAAUCUUUGAUUUUUCAACAAAAAUACAUCGGAAUCAACAUAUAAUAUAAGUUUUGCUUACGUACCCUCACAACCUUUGAUUUUUCAACAAAAAUAUAUAGGAAUCAACAUAUAAUAUAAAUUUUGUUUACGUACCCUCUCUAAUAAUAUGUUUAUGUCUCUAAUGUCUAUAUAUGUAGAUGUCUACACAAAAGGAUCAGAGACCACAAGCUGAAGCCAAAACCUAAUUUAGGUGAACAAAAAAAGUAUUACAAAUAUAUAUGUCAAUAAAUAUAAAAGAGGCCAAACUACAAAGUUUUAUAGUCAUACGAUGGAGGAGAUAUUGUCAAAAAUCUUCAACGGAAUCAAUCUGGUUGAGGAGCUCAAAUUCAACUUAUCAGCACAAGAGUCGCCAGAAUCUCUCUCGAGUUCUCUCGGUUCGAUCUCCACUCUAUUUAGAGACGCCAACGAGCGGCUGGGAAUCCUACUUGAGAGGAAGAACGCUUUCGUACCAAAUCAGCCUGAACCAAAACCAGUUCAAGUGUCUGGCUUGGACCAGAUGAUGAUGCAGAUUGAACCGGGUCUGAAGCAGGACCACAGAGUAAGGGAGAGAGUGAUCAGAUUAAGGCUUGGACCAGAUGAUUCCGGUCCUGGUUGCGCUUUCUCGACGCCAAGGCCUCGAAGAAGAUUCAUUUUUAUCAGGUUGAUCGGGUCGGUUCAGAUUUUUGGAUUCAGUUUAUUUGCCUACUCCCUAGUUGUGGACAUGUAAAUCCCACCCCUAGCUGUGGACAUGUAAAUAUUGAGGUAUGUAUCAUAUACAUAUGUACAGGAAGAAGGAUGGAGCCGUGGAAACGGUGUUGGUAGCGGCGGCGAGGAUGGUGAACAUGGGCACUCCGCCAGACGAUAAUUAUGUUUGGCGUAAAUAUGGCCAAAAGGAAAUUCUCGGUUCUAGAUAUCCUCGGUAAUUAUAUUCAUCAAUUUUAAAAAUGAUUCCUUGUUUGCGUAAUAGUAUAUUAGUUUAUUUUAUCAUUUGGAAGUGGUUUUGUUAAGUCUUGAAUCCAUAUUUACCCAUUUAAUCACGGUCCAAGAUGGAGGGAAACAAGGAUAUGAGACUAUUUUGAUAGAUAACUGAUGGAGUGGAAGCAACAAUAACCGGUUCGACCAAGGGGUUAUGAAACCAUGUUUGGGACCAGCCAGCUCAACCAAGGGAUUCUAGGGAAUUCUCGUUUGAUACAUAUUUCUUGAUUGAUGAAUCUAAUCAAAUCAAUACAAGGGAUAGUGAAUAUUAUUCUCGCAAAAGCCAAAGAUUUUUAUUAAUCAAAUCAAAAACCGAAUACAACUUUAGGCUUAGAUACCUAUUUAUAAUAAAUUUUUUAAUCAAUGAAAAUCAUAAUCUUAAUUAAAAUAGGAAAACUACUAAAAUAUAUAAAAUACAAUAAGAAAUAAUUAUCUAUGUAAACUUUGCUCGAGAAUGGAAUUAUCUAUGCCAGCAGUGAUCUUGGUUUAUUACAUGAGACUAAGAGUUAUCUCUUUGAGAACUUUGAAAUGAAAGAUAUGGGUGAGGCAUCCUAUGAGAUAGGAAUUGAGAUAUUCCGUGACAGAUCACUAGGAAUUUUGGGAUUGUCUCAGAAAGCAUAUAUUGAUAAAGUUCUUGAGAGAUUCGGCAUGAUGACAUGUUCUUCUAGCAUUGUUCCUAUGCAUAAAGGUGACACGCUUAAUCUUAAGCAAUGUCCGCAGAAUGAAAUGGAACAUAAUGAAAUGCAAAAAUACCCUUAUGCAUCUCUUGUGGGAAGUUUGAUGUAUGCACAGGUUUGUACCAGACCUGAUAUUAGCCACGCAGUUGGCAUGCUGGGUAGAUUUCAGAGUAACCCAGGACUCGCUCAUUGGCAAGCUGCAAAGAAAGUUUUGAGAUACUUAAAGGGAACAAGAAACUACAUGUUGACAUAUCGAAAAUCAACACAUCCACAGAUGGUUGGAUUUUCGGACUCAGAUUAUGGUGGAUGCAAAGACUCUAGACACUGUACUCUCGGCUAUGUGUAUCUCCUUGGUGGAGGUGCCAUCUCAUGGAAAAGCCAGAAGUCAGAGUUGAUAUACACAUCCACUAUGGAAGCUGGGUAUGUUGCAUGUUAUGAAGCUUCUAUUCAAGGAACAUGGUUGCGGAAUUGUGUGUCAGUGUUUAGGGCUUUGAGUUUUGUUGACAAGCCUCUCACUCUUUACUGUGACAAUCAAGCUGCAAUCUUCUUCGCUUAGCAUGAUAGGAUAUCUAAGGGAGCCAAGCAUAUGGGCCUCAAAUAUUUAUCACUGAAGCAAGAUGUCAAAAGAGAAAAGUUUGUCAUUGAACAUAUAGGCACUGAACUUAUGGUUGCAGACAUAUUUACAAAAGCUUUACCUCCAAAGACUUUCAUGAAGCAUGCUGAAAGUAUGGGUCUUGAGGAUAGCGCCUAAUGUUGUGUGUUUACGAUUAGCCUAUGUAUGACAAUUAUUUGAGCUCUUUUAUGACUUUUACAUCUUUUAUAUAUUCUGUUUCCAAUGUGCACACACAUUAUUGUUGGUUGGAUUUAUGAUAACAGAAUGAGUCUCUCGUUAAAGACAUUAAAGGGACCAUUACGAUACUCCUACUUAUGUUUAUGGUCUAACUAUGAAGGUGGUCAAUGCGGUAGUACAUGGAAGGGAUCAUGUUGCAGAAUGAUGUGCGACUGCCAUGACUCUCAUUGAUUACUAGAUUAGUCAAGACACUUAUGAUGACCAAAUGAAAAAAUAAAGUUAUAGCAUAUUAUGCCGGCCUUAUGACUCCAUAAAGAAAACAUUAGUGGAUCUCACUAACGACCAAGUGGGAGACUGUAAGAAAUAUUUCCUUUCCCUAUUAUAUGGUCUUAUAGUUAUCCGUUUUCUAUUGGAAUAUUGCAAUUCCUUAAUAUUUAUGGUGACCAAUGAAAUUGGAUAUAAAAGAAUAAUUCCUAAUUUAUCUCUAGCUUGAUGGACGGUUGAGAUUAAUCUAAAGGAAACCCUAAAGAGGAAUUAGGUCCUCUCUCCACCUAUAAAUAAAUAUCUUUAGACCAUCAUAAAGAUAUCCUAAAAGCAACAACUAACGUUAUAGGCGAGGCGAGAGAAACCUAAGAGUUCCUAAGAAGAGAUUGAGCUGUUCAUCUUCCAUUCAGGAUUCAAUCCAUCCAGGAAGAUCUCUCAGGCAAAAUGAAUCCAGGUACCUCUAUAAACAUUCAUAUGAUUAUAUUAUGUGAUUAACCUAGAUGUUUAAAGAUCUUAGGGUUCAUGUAAAUUUAACUUACAUGUGGUAUCAGAGCAUGGUUAUAAACAUCUGUUUAAUCCAUUAAGAAUAAUAGAUCUAUGAGCUAGAUAAGUGAAACUGAUAGAUCUGAUCAUUGUGAUUUCUAGAUCUUAUUAAGGGUUUAAUUUUCGUAUGUGUGCAAAGUUAGUGCGAUCUGAGAAAUAUAUUAAGUCUGUUUGAUAAAAUCGUGCGAACUCUGUGCAUCUGAAAUAAUUAUUUUCCUGUUUAAGAGAAUCGUGCAUAGUUUGUGCAUCUAGGGAUUAUAAUUAUCUUUUUAAAAGAAUCAUGCAUAGUUUGUGCAUACCCGAAUUAUAAUUUUCGCAAUACAA